GCCACGUUGACCCUGCCUCUGCAUCCAGCGGCGCCGGGUUCUUCCCGUUGCUGCACCACCUCGCGGCCGAGGAGACCAGGCGCUGGUGCGACCCCACUCCCGCUGCUGUUUUGUCUCGUCGGAUAAGCCACAUCUGGUUAGUUCCAUGCUGCUUUGCUCGACGGCAAUUAUCGUUCUGAUUUGCUCUCUCGUGGGAAGUAGCAUGUGGCUCUCUUAAUUUAUCAGAAGUCUGACACGAAGGAUGAGCGUGUGAGGAUUAAGGAUGCAGGAGGCAAGGUCAUCCGAUGUAAUGGUUACCGAGUGUCUGAAAUACUUGUCAAAUGUGGCUCGGUGAUAGAAUUAAGCAUGAAGGAGGAAGAUACCAGCACCAGCCCCAGCAAUAAAGACUGUGGCAAGGGCGACGGCAGUGUGUCCCGGCGAGCGUGAGCAAUGGCAGCAUCAUCUCCGACUCCGAGUACCUGACCAAGACGCUGCCUAGGUCACACGUCGAGGACUUCCUCCUGGACAAUGCCGCCUCCUUGGCUGUUGUUGUCGUCUCCUCAAAUAAGUUGUAUCAGAAGAAUUUUGGAUGCAGACCUAUGUGGUUUCUUCAUAGUACUAGGGAGCCGACAAUAAAAAAACAUGAGAAUUCAUCACCUAUCUUAUCCACCGCAACUGAACAAGUAAAACAUGUGCAUACUUCGCCGCUUCGCCGACGACCCCGCGGCCGAGCAGGAGGAGUGCUUCCAUGGCUUCAAAUAUAUGCGAGUAGAUUCAGGCUGCAGCACAUGCUUCCAUCACCUCCCUGUGUCGCUGGAGUCAUGGGCUCCGUCGUGUGGCGCACUGCCAAGGAUGUCAACCAUGUUGCCUGCAGCCUGCAGGGUUCAGUGCCGUCAUCUUUGUCUGCAUCGGGUCACGCUCCCAUUACCUCAUGCCCCCCUCUCAUUCAUGCUCGUCUUCUUCAUUUUGGUUGUUGAUCCGGAUAUUAGAUGCCCUCAUAGGAAGUACAUUGUCAGUGUUAAUAGAUGAUUUUUUUUUCCCAGCAGAUGGAGUCUCCAUAGUUAUAUGGCUGCUGAGAUGAGUUGCUCAAAUGGUUAAAAUUAUGUUUGUGCUCCAGGUCUAGAGGAGGUAGAGGAGCUCAGUUUGAUCCUAAGGAUGGUGUUGCUUUUUGUAAAAUUAAAUUACUUGUUCGUAUCAUAAUUUCAAACUGGGAUUUUUUCUUUUCUCAACUAUUCGCUAUUUGUUGUACCUUCGAUGUUUUAAGUGGCCAAUUUGAGCUUGUCCAAUCACAGUUUCCACAAGCAUUGUAUGGCCUUGCUGGAAAUCAGAUGUCUUAACCCUUUUAAAGUUCUGAUAGAAAAAUCCUUACAUUCUUUGGCUUACAACCAAAAGGAUAUUCUACUUCAGGUUUUGUCUUACAAACAUAGGAGAUUCUACUUCAUGUUUUGUUUUACAAGCAAAUAUAAUUCUGAAUGUCAUUUAUGUUGAUGGAUAGUAAGUUAUAAUCAUAUGGUAGCCUCAAGAAAGUUCAGGACAAGAAGCAUGCUACUGCUUUUGCGAAAUAUUAUGUUCCACUGAUGUAACGAGGUAUGCUCGUGAUCUACAGUACUAAUGCACCUUACCCAGCAGCUUCUUGUCAAUAGUUACAGUGCUUCGUUAAAAUAAUUAGUAUGCUCAUUGUUAAUUAUAGGCUAGAUGUCUUGCACACACCGCAAAUUAAGGUUUUGGAACUCCAUUUGCCAAUAGUAUCAGUGAAUCAAACACUCCUAUCUAUCUGAAUUCUAACAGUAAGUUGUGAUUGCAUAUGACACCUUAUUCUUCAGUGAUCAUUCUCUACGGUUUAUUAUUAGUUCUGGUUCAGUUUAUAGUAUAAGUCAUUUAUUAUUCAGUUUUUUUCUCUUCAGACUUUAGAUUCUUCAGUUAUCUUAUUCUUACUCCCUUUCGUUCAUUAGUGUUCAUUUUUUAUUCAGUCCUUAGACUCAUUAUCCUAGAUCAGUUUGUUGGUGCAGAGCUGGCAGUAUCGAGAGGCUUUCUUCUGACAUAUCCUCUUGUAAGUACGGGAUACGUGUGCAGACUGCGUAAGCAUCAAGCGGCGGGACAUGGAUUCAGUUUUUUUGGUGGUUGUAGCUGAAAGUUGUGUGGUUGUUGCUCCACCGAUAUUAUAAUGGAGCUCCUAAUUGUGAUACAUUAAUUUGUAUUCAAUCACACAUAAUAUGUCCAAGAUUUUAGCUCCAUGAUCACUCAUCUGUGGUUGUCUGCUUUUUAGCAAAUGUCAACAUAUUCACUCUCAACUCAGUUUUUCUGGUAGAUGUGCUAGGAUCAAAUGGGUUGUCAUUUCUAAGCUGCAGGGUCUUUAAGCUUUAUAGCUCAUGGAGGUGAAUAUGGAAAUGAUCAUAGCGUCAAUUUAUAUUUUUCUCCUGGAAAUGGGAUUAUCCCCACAACAGUACUUCAUGAACUUUACACUCUUCAUGGUUGCCAGGUGCCAGCAAUAAUUAGGAAAUUAUUAGACCAAUCCUUUUUUAUGGAACUCUAUUCUAGAAUAGGUACUCUUCAAAUUGUGAUGUUACUUGAGUGUUGCGGUUAGACAUACAUUUGGGUUGUUUUAAAAAAAUGAGCAUAUGUUUGUCUUAAUGUUAAAUGCAGCUUCCAAAAUAGCUCAUGGUGAUUUCUUAUGUUCUUUACUGUCUUAGCACUAUAUUAGGACAGUCAAUUUUUCCGGGUCGCUGCUACUUUUAGUGUGGAUAAAGAUAUAUCAAGUUGUAGGUAGAUUGUGUAUCAUGCAUUUGCUUAUAUCAAAAUUACCAUUCACUAUUUUGGAAUCCCCGUUCCACGAAACGUCUUAGGUAUCUCUUGCCAUUGCUUAAUAGUUGUCCUUUGCAGGUCAUGAUUAUAUUUUGUAGUGAGAUUGGCAAAAGAAUAUAUUAUACUCCAGUUCACAAUAUUUUUAUUUGAGGAAAAGCCCCUUGGAGGUGAUCUCUUUCUUAUGAACAUCAGUGUACGUUUGAGAUGUUAUGUCAAAACAUUUGAUUGCUGAAAACAGGAUGGAACGGGCUAGAAAACAUUUAUUUUGAAAUCAGACUUACAAUGCUAUAUAUCUGAUGCCAAGGAGCAGAAACUUGCAGCGGCAUCUCCGAUACCCUCUGGACGAGCUGCAAUUAGAUCGUAGCUGACGACGCGGCGAUGACCACCGAGGUAUGCCCUUCUCUCCUUGCCCUUCAUGCCAAUAUUCAGUCUUUUACAGGGUCAUCCCCGCGUUGCUUGCAAUCAAUCUGCUAGCGACAGUAGAAAUUAACAAUGCCAUGUGUGUGUUUCUACAUGGUGACAUAUAAGUGCAGGACCGGAGUGCACGCUCACCCGCAGAACCUUCAGGGUGCUCCAUGCUCGACAUCUUCUCAGCGUAGCUGCUUGAUCAAUAGUUUUGAUUGAUCUAUUUGAUAAUUUAAAUCAGUAGUUUUGAUUGAUCUAUUUGAUAAUUUAAGUUAUCCGAUAGUGUCACUGGUUCACUCAUGCUCUUUUCUUAUGUUGUUAUUUAAUCAUUAUGGGCUUGGAUAUUCUCUAUAGCAUCUCAAUGAUUCACUGCAAUUGGCCAAGUUCUUCUCGAUAUUUGAUACUGUAUGAGAGUAGCAGUUGGACUAAAAAAACUACAACAAUAUGCAAGUAUAGCAACCACUUGAUGCUGAACCUUAAUGUUUUCGCUUUAUCUUCAUCUACAUUAUUAACUAAUCUCUCAUGUUAUUUUAACAAGUUCUAAAUUUUUAGCUACACGAUUCACAGUAGUUUCGGAAGCACAAAUUGAUGUCUAUAACUUAUUUAGGGUAACCUUUUGCUCCAUCUGGUAGAUAUGUAACAAGGCAAUAUAGAGGGAUAUAGAGAGCUAUUUUUAAAUACUCUCAAUAUUUCCAUUCAUGACCGAACAUGCCAGAUAAUUAGAUUCUGUCUCCUUUUUUCACUACACAACCGUUCUAAUUCAGAUAAUGCAAUAAUGCAUGCUGAACUCAUUCAUUUCAGCUGAGUACAUGUUGUCUAUGUCUCUUAUACAUAUUGUAGGCCAAGAUGAAUUCCUCAAGUGUUAGAUUCUUUAACGUGCCAGUGCAUAGAGCUUUUUUAGCAUUUUAGCCUAUCAUAUAUUGUUUCUUAAAAUAAACAGCGGAAAUGGCCAACUUUAGAGGGCAGGCCUGGCGCAGUGGUGAAGUCCUCCCCACUUGUGCCAAGAGGUCCUGGGUUCGAACCAGCCUCUCUGCAUUGCACUUUGCAGGGGUAAGACUAGGUUCCUAUAAUCCCUCCCCAGACCCCACCUUGUGUGGGAGCUUCUAUGCACUGGGUCUGUCCUUUAAAUGGCCAACUUUAAUCAGAUAUGUCUGCUAAAAUCCACAUUUGGAUAAUCUUUUCUCUUUUCUUAGUUUGGUCGCACAUGGAUCAACUUAGUGUGUUUACCUUUUUCACUAUAUGCAUUUAUACUUGGGGAAAAAAUCCCUCGCCACUAGCUCUGAAACGUCAACAAUGUCAGCGUCUAAUAAAGAGAACUCGUGGAUAUGAUUGAUCCAGAAAUAAGUGGUUCUCAAUAGGAAAUGGUACUUUUAUAUUCUUGAUGAUUAUUAUUUUUGUGUAAGACAAAUUACAAUCGAUAAUUCGGCAUAGUAUGAUCUGGAUAGCUUUAAACAUAGAAGCAGGCAUCCUAUUCUAUUUAUUUCCAUCAUUGUUGCCUAUACCAUAUUUAAAUUUCUGUCUUUAUUGUCCUUGUAUGAUGAUAGCCCAUUGGGAAAUAAAAUUAAAUGGGUUAAAUACUUUGUUCGUUAUUUCAAGUACCAAAUUUACAUUCAUCGUUUAGUGGUUCGUCGAAAUUCUUCUACCUAUGACUUUGAAAUUGGCCACUAGAAAACCAACAUGCCACCCUCUUCACAACCUUAGUUAGUGAUUCGUUCAAUUUAGUGGGUGUAAGUAUGGGAACACUGAUCUUUAUAUGGUAACCUUUCAUGCUCAUUUCAUUUCUCAUUUUGUUGAUCAUUAAUGUUACUUCGUUGACAAAUGAUAUUUACAGUACUUCUGGAUGACAGAGUUUGAGUUCUAUGUGAAGUUCCAAAAGGAAUACCUGCAAGACUCCUUCAACUUAGUAAGAUUGCAUAUGUCCUUUGUGCUGCACAGCUCCAAUGCUUCACUCCUCUACUCAUAGUGGGAAAAAAGUCUUAGGUACUCUGAAUUUUAUCUUUUCUUCCCCUCACGCUUUGUUAGGUAGGAUCAAUAGUUUAUCUUAUCGGUUGGAAUUUUGAGAGGCCGAUUGAGUAUUGAGUGAUGGGAAUACUGAAUUUACUUGGUUUCUAUCCUAUUCUCAUAUCUGUAACUAGCUCUGCAUGUCGUUAAGAAGGGACGACCUAAGGAGUGGAGAGAUCUGAGGCAACCAAAAUCCUGCAUCUGCAUGCUUAUAGGCGUUUGACAAUCCUACACCAGGGUCACAUAUAUAUGGACAUUCAGUUGACAAUCCUACACCAGGUUCACGUAUAUAUGAACCUGAAUCUGCAUGCUGAAAACUGGAUGUGGCAGUAAUCCACUCUUCAGGCAGAAGAAAAUAAUCUGAGCUAUACUCAACAUAGUAGGAUGUCUGAUGUAUUACUAUGGAAAUAUAAUUAUACAAUACAUAGCUGAAUGUUAAGCUUGGCUCUCAUCAUAGAUAUACUGAUACAUAGCAGAAUGUUAUUUGAAUUUCAGUUAUACAAGAUUAAUGAAAAUGUUAAGCUUGCACAGAUGGUGCUGACUACGGAGGAGCUUGCCUAGGAGUUAGCGGAGCCGGAGGACAAAUAUCAGCACACCAUGGUUGUGUUCUUACAUGGUGCUGGCCGUGGCCAUGGUGAUGCUGAAGGCCAUGACCGUGGCGUUGGCCAUGGGUGUGGUCGUGCCGGUGGCUGAGGCGUUGAAGGUGCCCGUAGACAUCCCAAGGGUGGCCGGUCGCAGUGGGGAUGGCCGUGGACCUGGCAACAGUUAGUCCUCUCCCUGGACGUGCCUAUAGUUAUAAUUAGUUGUAGGUGUUCCACGAAUGUAGGUUCUUCUUUCUUUUAUCGGUAUAAAAUCAAAACUUGUGGAAUUGUUCUUGGUGUGGGUUUGAUUUUGUCGCGGAGGCUCCAUACGGGCUACCAAGAGUCACCAUGGGCCGGGCGAUAGAGUUUCGGAUGGAGUAUCCAUGUAGUCAGUCUUGUGUGUAUGUGUGCCUCAACGGGUGCCAGUGUGGAGCACCUAUCUGCCCUAACUCGAGGCCCUUACCGAGGAGUUGCGUCGGUGCUCAAAACAGCUAUUGGUUGUGCUUUUUCUCUGCACGACUAAAUU